rnacentral:lncRNA from 10 species
UCCUAAGGAUGAAUUUCAGCAAGGGUUGCCCACCAGUCUUCAAUACUUUAAGAUCAUUAUACAAAGACAAAGAAAAGGUGGCAAUCAUAGAAGAGUUAGUAGUAGGUUAUGAAACCUCUCUAAAAAGCUGCCGGUUAUUUAACCCCAAUGCAUUUUCCUACAUAUUUUACAAAUGUGGAAGAGGUUCAAUGACUUGCCCAAGAAUAUGCAGCACUUUUGUUGCAGAUCUGUCAGAUGGGGAGUUGAUGAUGGAAAGGAGGAACCACCAACCACAUUACUUUGGGUCCAGUACUACUUGGCACAACAUUAUGACAAAAUUGGUCAGCCAUCUAUUGCUUUGGAGUACAUAAAUACUGCUAUUGAAAGUACACCUACAUUAAUAGAACUCUUUCUCGUGAAAGCUAAAAUCUAUAAGCAUGCUGGAAAUAUUAAAGAAGCUGCAAGGUGGAUGGAUGAGGCCCAGGCCUUGGACACAGCAGACAGAUUUAUCAACUCCAAAUGUGCAAAAUACAUGCUAAAAGCCAACCUGA